GAUGAACGCUGGCGGCGUGCCUAAUACAUGCAAGUCGAGCGAACAGACGAGGAGCUUGCUCCUCUGACGUUAGCGGCGGACGGGUGAGUAACACGUGGAUAACCUACCUAUAAGACUGGGAUAACUUCGGGAAACCGGAGCUAAUACCGGAUAAUAUAUUGAACCGCAUGGUUCAAUAGUGAAAGACGGUUUUGCUGUCACUUAUAGAUGGCUCCGCGCCGCAUUAGCUAGUUGGUAAGGUAACGGCUUACCAAGGCGACGAUGCGUAGCCGACCUGAGAGGGUGAUCGGCCACACUGGAACUGAGACACGGUCCAGACUCCUACGGGAGGCAGCAGUAGGGAAUCUUCCGAAAAGGGCGAAAGCCUGACGGAGCAACGCCGCGUGAGUGAUGAAGGUCUUCGGAUCGUAAAACUCUGUUAUUAGGGAAGAACAAAUGUGUAAGUAACUAUGCACGUCUUGACGGUACCUAAUCAGAAAGCCACGGCUAACUACGUG
rnacentral:rRNA from 1 species